AGAAGCGAGGUCCAGCAAGAUGAAUAGAAGAAAGCCCAAGUCAUUCCGAGGACACUGGCCCGUUCAGAUCGUCCGGGCGGCCCCAUCAGCCCCACGAACAUUCGGCCGACCAGGCCGGCUGGAAAGACCCGUCAGCCCGAGCAGUUAACAUCCCAAAGAUGGCGUCCCAAGUAUGUCGGAUCCAUCAUGUCGGACCCUAAUCCGAAAGCAUAGGACCCAGAGUCCGAUAGGAAAUUGUAUAAAUACCCCUAGGGGUGAAGUGUAAAAAGGGGG
rnacentral:lncRNA from 1 species